CCGGGGAUGGACGGGUCGAAGGUCCCGGCGAUCGGGUCGCCGACGACGUCGUUCGAGUCGGAAACAUCGGCC
rnacentral:tRNA from 1 species